CUGGAGAUUCAGGGGGCCAGUCUAAUUUAUAAGCAUGGAAAUCCCCUGAGUGAAACAACGAAUUGCUGUGUGUAGUCUUUGCCCAUCUCCCACGAUGGGCUUUUUUUUAA
rnacentral:other from 1 species